AAAAAAAAAAAAGAAAGAAAAGAAGAAGAAGAACGAUGGCCAGAAUUUUUGGAGUCCUCCAGUGAUGGUGAACAUUGGCAAGGGAAAAAGAGAGAUGGUGACUUGAAAAACUAGGAAUUAAAGAGAAAAAGGGAGAAAGAAAGUGAAUAAAAGCAGAAAUAGGGGAUGAUCAGGGCAGCAAAUUCUUCACUCUUCUAGAUAAGUUUGGUGACGGGUGGAUGUUAUUUUGAAGUUAAUAUGCUUUCUUUCUCAUGGGAAAACUUAAUCCAUUGAUGCAUUAACUAUAUUUAUUUUUGUUAU
rnacentral:misc_RNA from 1 species